AACGAACGCUGGCGGCGUGUUUAAGACAUGCAAGUCGCACGGGGACAUUUGUGUAGCAAUACUCGGAUGUCCUAGUGGCGCACGGGUGAGUAACAUGUGAAUGACAUGCCCUAUAGUGGGGAAUAGCCCAGGGAAACUUGGAUUAAUACCCCAUGGUCUCGCAAGAGUAAAGGUGGCCGCAAGGCUGUCGCUAUAGGAUUGGUUCGCACCCUAUCAGCUUGUUGGCGGGGUAACGGCCCACCAAGGCUACGACGGGUACCUGGUCUGAGAGGACGAUCAGGCACACUGGAACUGAGACACGGUCCAGACACCUACGGGUGGCAGCAGUCGAGAAUAAUUCACAAUGGGGGCAACCCUGAUGGUGCAACGCCGCGUGGAGGAUGACGGUCUUCGGAUUGUAAACUCCUGUCAUCCGGGAGUAAGACCUGACGGUAAAUAGCCGGCAGGGUUGAUAGUACCGGAAGAGGAAGGGACGGCUAACUUCGUGCCAGCAGCCGCGGUAAUAC
rnacentral:rRNA from 1 species